UGCUCCUACGGGGUUUCCGCGUCCCCGAAGCAGAGGCGGCCGGGCCCCCGGGCUGGACCGGGAGGCGGAAGGCUGGGGGCGCGCCGGACGGUUGGCAGCUCUGGCUUUCCCGCCGGCGAGUGGGACCAGGCUCGCCGGUCCCGCAGUGCUCGGUGCCGGAGGGGCAGGCACGUCCACACUCUGCACUGGAGGGGAAUCGGGCUGUUCCGCUCGUUCCCACCGCUACUUAACUGGACGGUAAAGAGCCGCCUGGCCUUUGGCACGAGCGUUUAACAUCCUUCAGACCUUGACAGUGAAACUCCUGCUCCGGAAAAUGUCGGCUACCCAGCAAGUACCAGAAGAUCCAGUUUACCGUCCAACGUGCAGGGCGAGAAGAAAUAUGUAAUGUCCUCUGCAGAUGUCUCUGGAGUAGCCAACUCCAUUCUUCUCAUGUUGCCUCUGGUCUUCUCUCGCUCUCUUUUUAAAAUAAUGCUUAUAAUUUUAACAGGUGUGAGAAAUGCCUGAUAAAAUCAUUGUAAACUUUUGCUAAUGUAGGGGUAAUGUGCCUUGUAACUCAGGAAUUUAAAUGGAUGCUUCCGGCCUGUACAGCUCCAUGCUGCCUUGGGACUACACAGGUUUAGCACUACUGUUACAUGCUGUGGAGGAUUUCCAGAGUUCCUUAACAGGAAAUAAUCAAGGGCUAAACUCUGGUUGAAGUCACAAUUGCUCAAGGAGUUUCAAGGUUAAACAGACUGAUGAGGAAAAGAAUUUUUUCACUGCUGGCAGUAAUUCCUUACAUAUAGACUUCGAAAAAAUAAAGGGGGUGGGCACUCUGCCAUCUUCCUGAGUCCCUAGAAAGGCUGAGGUGAUGCAUGACUAGCUGGUGUUCCCUGAGACUGCCUCUGUUUGGGAAAGCCUUCGUGUCUGAAGAGAGAAGAUGGUCAAGGCAUAGUGCCCCUUUGCUUGCUAGAGGCUUCUAUUUUUAUUUUCCUUUAAAAUUCCUUUGAAAAGUAACUUUAAAAUUUUAUACUCACAAUUGACCCAAAUAAAAGAAAUUAUAUGG